UACGUAGGGUGCAAGCGUUGUCCGGAAUUAUUGGGCGUAAAGAGCUCGUAGGCGGCUUGUCGCGUCGGAUGUGAAAGCCCGGGGCUUAACCCCGGGUCUGCAUUCGAUACGGGCAGGCUAGAGUUCGGUAGGGAGAUCGGAAUUCCUGGUGUAGCGGUGAAAUGCGCAGAUAUCAGGAGGAACACCGGUGGCGAAGGCGGAUCUCUGGGCCGAUACUGACGCUGAGGAGCGAAAGCGUGGGGAGCGAACAGG
rnacentral:rRNA from 1 species